UGGGCACGUCCCCUGAACUGCUCCCCCCCCCCGCAGACCUGUGCAAGAACUGCCACCACCUGAUCGCACGCCACGAGUACACCUUCAGCGUGGUGGAUGACUACCAGGAGUACACCAUGCUGUGCCUGCUGUGCGGCCGGGCCGAGGACUCCAUCAGCAUCCUGCCCGACGACCCGCGCCAGAUGACCCCGCUCUUCUGAAGCCGGUCUGUGCCCCGGCACGGCCCCCGGCCCCGCUCCCCGUGUGCCCAGCGCCCCACGGAGCUGUGGGACCGUGCUGCUGGCACUGGGGGGGCUUCGUUCCUGCCCCUGUUCAAACCUCCAGCCUGGAUGCGAUGGACGCCCGAUGCUGGAUGCUGCCUGCUCUGCUCCAGCCUCGUGCUGCGCCUGCUCCCGAGUCCCCUUUGCACUGAAGAAAGGGAGGGGACCCAGAAACCCACCCCUGAAAUGGCUCAGGGUGGCACAGCCGCCUCGUCCUGCCCCCAAGGGGUCUGUGUGGGCAAUAAAUGUGAGCAUUUAACAGC